CUGGCGUUACUGCCCCCUGGCGGCCCGACGGAAGUAUCCUCCAGACUUGGCCUCGCCGCUAGGUGGCCUCCCCCGCUAGAGGUCAUCGACUCACGCCUCUCGCGCCGCGCUCCGGUCCGGGUAGCCCAGCGGUAGAGACAAGGUUUCACCGUGUUAGCCAGGAUGGUCUCGAUCUCCUGAACUCGUGAUCCGCCUGCCUCGGCCUCCCAAAGUGCUGGGAUUACAGGAGUGAGCCACCGCGCCCGGCUGUGUCCGCGCUUCUUUUCCCGAGCUCUGCCUCCGAGUUUUCUGGGGCGCAGCUGCUUCACUCUCCAUCUCUGCCUCCGGGGGGCUAAUUACACCGUAUCCUACCCAUCCUCCCGCCUGACCACCCACCCCCUUGGAAGCCCCCGCAACCCCGUCACCGUCUUCGGGGCGACGGCCGCCCCCUCCCAGGCACGUCCCCCUCCUAGGAAGAGGCUGAGGCCAAGUUUA